rnacentral:rRNA from 1 species
UAAAGAGGAGGAAGGGAUGGGCAACGGUAGGUCAGCAUGCCCCGAAUUAUCCGGGCUACACGCGGGCUACAAUGGUCAGGACAAUGGGCAUCAACACCGAAAGGUGAAGGCAAUCUCUUAAACCUGCCUUAGUUCGGAUUGUGGGCUGCAACUCGCCCACAUGAAGCUGGAAUCUGUAGUAAUCGCGUCUCAAAAUGGCGCGGUGAAUAUGUCCCUGCUCCUU